rnacentral:rRNA from 1 species
ACGGAGGAUGCGAGCGUUAUUCGGAAUCACUGGGCUUAAAGCGCGUGUAGGCGGACUCAAAAGUCAGGGGUGAAAGCCCCGAGCUUAACUGGAGAAGUGCGAUCGAAACCAUGGGUCUUGAGAACCGGAGGGGAUCGGGGAAUUCCCAGUGUAGAGGUGAAAUUCGUAGAUAUUGGGCGGAACACCGGUGGCGAAGGCGCCGAUCUGGACGGUUUCUGACGCUGAGACGCGAAAGCGUGGGUAGCAAACAG